AAGAAAGAAAGAAAGGGAGAAAGAAGAGACGCACGGCCAAGUUUCUAAAUUUUCAAAGUUUAAUUGCUAAUGUCAUACCGGAAUCCUCGACUAAACAGGGGAAAGAUAAAAUCGACGUCAAAUAACUCAGAAUUCACAGUUAGAUACUUCACUUUUGAUCGCCGAUUCAGCAUCCAACAAUGACUCCGAACUCAAACGUGGUGAUGUUUAUCUUUUGUGUCGGCAUGUAUCUAGGAUGUCUAAAUGAUAGUUAUUUUGUGGAUGGAUUGUAAAUGAG